rnacentral:rRNA from 1 species
GUCCCAUAAAUAGGGACCGGUAUGAAUGGCAACAUGAGAAAGAAACUGUCUCCUUAAGUUAGCCCGUGAACCUGAUCUGCCUGUACAAAAGCAGGCAUACAAAAACAAGACAAAAAGACCCUGUGAAACUUUAAAUGUCCACCACCCAAUUAUGGUCAAGACAUUUUUGGUUGGGGCAACCAAAGAGAGAUACAAACCUCUAAACACUUGCACGGCAAACCCGCCAACCAAGACACCACUAGACCCAGUACUACUGAUCAAAGAACCAAGCUACUCCAGGGAUAACAGCGCCACAUUCUUGAAAGCCCGUAUCAACAAGAAUACCUACGACCUCGAUGUUGGAUCAGGAUAUCCUGAUGGCGCAGAAGCUAUCAAGGGCUCGUUUGUUCAACGAUUAAAAU